CCGUAGAUGAACGCUGGCGGCGUGCUUAACACAUGCAAGUCGAACGAUGAUGCCCACUUGUGGGUGGAUUAGUGGCGAACGGGUGAGUAACACGUGAGUAACCUGCCCUUAACUCUGGGAUAAGCCUGGGAAACUGGGUCUAAUACCGGAUAUGACUCCUCAUCGCAUGGUGGGGGGUGGAAAGCUUUUUGUGGUUUUGGAUGGACUCGCGGCCUAUCAGCUUGUUGGUGAGGUAAUGGCUCACCAAGGCGACGACGGGUAGCCGGCCUGAGAGGGUGACCGGCCACACUGGGACUGAGACACGGCCCAGACUCCUACGGGAGGCAGCAGUGGGGAAUAUUGCACAAUGGGCGAAAGCCUGAUGCAGCGACGCCGCGUGAGGGAUGACGGCCUUCGGGUUGUAAACCUCUUUCAGUAGGGAAGAAGCGAAAGUGACGGUACCUGCAGAAGAAGCGCCGGCUAACUACGUGCCAGCAGCCGCGGUAAUACGUAGGGCGCAAGCGUUAUCCGGAAUUAUUGGGCGUAAAGAGCUCGUAGGCGGUUUGUCGCGUCUGCUGUGAAAGACCGGGGCUCAACUCCGGUUCUGCAGUGGGUACGGGCAGACUAGAGUGAUGUAGGGGAGACUGGAAUUCUCUGGUGUAGCGGUGAAAUGCGCAGAUAUCAGGAGGAACACCGAUGGCGAAGGCAGGUCUCUGGGCAUUAACUGACGCUGAGGAGCGAAAGCAUGGGGAGCGAACAGGAUUAGAUACCCUGGUAGUCCAUGCCGUAAACGUUGGGCACUAGGUGUGGGGGACAUUCCACGUUUUCCGCGCCGUAGCUAACGCAUUAAGUGCCCCGCCUGGGGAGUACGGCCGCAAGGCUAAAACUCAAAGGAAUUGACGGGGGCCCGCACAAGCGGCGGAGCAUGCGGAUUAAUUCGAUGCAACGCGAAGAACCUUACCAAGGCUUGACAUGGACCGGACCGGGCUGGAAACAGUCCUCCCCUUGGGUCGU
rnacentral:rRNA from 1 species